AACGUAGGGUGCAGGCGUUAAUCGGAAUUACUGGGCGUAAAGCGUGCGCAGGCGGUUUGCUAAGACAGGUGUGAAAUCCCCGGGCUUAACCUGGGAACUGCGCUUGUAACUGGCAAGCUUGAGUGUGGCAGAGGGGGGGUGGAAUUCCACGUGGUAGCAGUGAAAUGCGUAGAGAUGUGGAGGAACACCGAUGGCGAAGGCAGCCCCCUGGGCUAACACUGACGCCUCAUGCACGAAAGCGUGGGGAGCAACAGG
rnacentral:rRNA from 1 species